AGUCAAUGGCUUCAGACAGGUUUUCUAUUGUAUCAUCAAACGGACAGUAAACCAUCAGUGUCUGGAGAGGUUAAGUACAAAGGGUGAAAGAUGGGGAUGCCGC